rnacentral:miRNA from 1 species
UGAGAAGAGGAAGAAGAAGA